UCCACAUGCUCGCACUGAGAGAAUGGGACAGGCUGUACGGAGCAAAGGCAAGGCGGGUGGUAGCAGCGAGCAUCUGAGGCUCUGCUUCCAGAAGGCAGCAGCUCCACAGCUGCUUCUGCUUUGUUUGCAGAGAACCAUCCUUGAUCCAGCUCAGGAAAGGUGCCAGUACGCUCAGCAUCUGAAACACCUCAGCCGUUUAGUUUGAGCUGUCAGCUGUGUGUCCUGGUGAAUACAGUACUCUGGUCAGAAGGCAGAGCUGCCUCAGGAGCCAGCAAUGCUCUGUGACACCGCUGGAAGGAAGGAAGGGUGUGCAGAGCAGGAGGGGCUUUCCCCAGAUAACCUUCCUUGGUUUCACUGAGAAAGAAGGAUCUACCUUGGGUUUUUGUAAAUUCACAAAGAGUGAGCUGCAUUGGCAGUGUUGUUGGUAGCACCACUGAAUGCUCCGGGUGGUUUUCCAAGCACAACUUCCCCACGGAUGGAGACAACAGCAGCCAUCAAAUUGCUGAAUGUCACAAAGCAGGCGCUGGGAAAUCUUGGUUGCAGCCUUUGUGCAGCCCUUCAGCUCUCUUUCCACACAGGCCAGCAUCUACGCACAACACAACAAAGACUUAUUAAUACAACCUCCACAAUCAGCCAGUGUGUAUCAGCCCACAUGUGGAGCUCAGGGCUCCAUUCAGGGAUUCCUCAGGAGCACAUGGUACAGAAAAAGUGCAAAUUCGUGUGUCACUGUUCCGAAAUUGCCAUCCACUGAGCAGCCCUCUGCUUUUAUUGUCAGGUGACCUUGAAAGGAUCGGAUAGAAGGAAUGUGUUCUGUGUAAGAAGAUGCACUAUCAAACGCAGCUGACAAGUUUUCCUUAUCUGUCAGUUCCCAGAAGGAUCCUGGGUCGCCCUGCUAGGAACUGGUGGAACAUUAGGAGCACAACGCACCCUUGCUGCUGCCCCAGACCCCAUGGGAUCCCAUAGCGCAGCCACUUCUCUUGAACUCCUCUGUGCGAGAUAGAAGAACACCCUGGAAGUCCUGGGAACCUCCUCUCCAGCUCUGUCACACCAGCUGUUUCCAUCCAUGCUUUGCCUUGUUUCACUGCACAUUCCAGCAGUGAAUCCAAGCUGCCUCACUCAGCAGCUCAGAAACGGGAGGAAUUUGACAAGGAGGCAGAAGCACUGUGUGCACUGGGUAUCACCAGCCAGCCCCCAUUCUGACAGGAACGUUUCUCUCACUGCUUGAAGAACAGCCCUGCAUCCAGAGAGCAUCCCAGAUCCUGAAGGAGGAGGAGGAGUAACAAAACAGAAAGAGAAAUCAAGAAUCAUCAGCAAGAGUGACUUCCUGACCCUUAGCAGUGCCAAGAGCAAACCAGAAGAGAUUCAUUUGCUGUUACUUUCACAACGUGGGACUCCGAAUAGAUUCAUUUGAACUUGUAUGGAGAACUCUGCCUUACAAAAUAUAGAAGAGCAGAUGCCCUCAUUUAAAAAGCAACAUUAGACCAAUACAAAUCAACUCUCAUUCAAGUCUGAGACAAAAGGCAUAAUCUUCCAGAACAACUGUGAUACAACACCUUGAGUCACAGUGCAGAUCUUGCAGAGAAUUUUAAUUUCUGUUGAACUGCUAACAUGACUACUCCUACUUUCUCCUACCACAAAUGCACAGUUUAACAAGACAUCAACACAGAAGCACCAAAAGCCAAACAAUUCCCAAAAGCAGAGGCCACAGCAGAACAUGGCACCCCAUCGUGAAAACACUUCUGGAAAACUGAAUCAGAUACAGAACAGAAAGUUAGCAGGAAUGGACAAAGAAAUUUUGCUAAGUGUCUUGGGAUUGUUUGCAUUACGUUCCAAAACUCACUGUCACGUACGGUAACAACACUUGUUACAAUUGCUGAUCUACCACAGAAACCCUCGCGUGGCAUUGCCCUCAGCCAUCAGUUGAAGGAGCUCCCUACAGACAUCCUCUACAGUUCCCUCCUCAAAAGGAAAACCAGGCCUGAAGGUUAUGAUUUAACAUACCUAUAUUUUGUCCCCACAGUAACUAACAGAACCAGGCAGCACAAAGAACAGUCGAAACAAAUGCCACAGCUAACUUGUAACAUCUACAAGCAUUAAGAAUCCUAUUUUUCACCCAGUACUGUAACUGCAAAAUGCAAUCUUUAUCAUCACACAACCUUUCCCAAAAGAAACAAAAGGAUAUUUUCAAUGUUUCUGCGCAAGUUUUCAUUGAGUUUUGCUUCAAGUUCACCAAGUUCUUCUUCUGCCUUUCUAACAUCUUUUUGCAAUUCAAGACGAGACUUUCUUGUGUCGUAAUAACCACCAGUCAAAGCACCACGAUGGCUGACUUGAUCACCUAAGAGCACAGCACAACAAGACUAUAAGUAGCACAUCAUUUAUUCUCUGUGGUAUCUGGAGCAGUUUCUGUAGUACAGUUUGGUAGUAUGACUAGAACAUUUCAGCUAAGCUAAACAAGUGCUGCAUCAGUAUAAGAAGUUGCUAUUUACAAUGAAGACUUUACGUAAAGUUCUGUAAUUGGUGACGUAGCUGUUUUGGUGUUCCAUUUAAAGUAUAUUUCAUUCUUCAGCACCAACACAGAUUGCUACUACUAUCUCCUUUAAGAAAAAAAAAAAAGAAGCCCUGCUCUACAAGGCACAGAUUCUGCUUUAUUUCUCCCUCGUCCCUUAGGAGAGUUUUCAAAUUGACUUCCAGAAAAAGAGAUAAAUAGUAAACCUGCACGGAAUCUGCACUGCAGGAACAGGCCACUGUCAGAAGACGCUUUAGGGAACACUGUGUAAAUGCACCUGGUAUGCUGAAAAAACAUCUUGCACUUAUCAGUAAUUAAAGCCACAUCUGAACCCUCAGUGCUGCUUUAAGUUGGUGGAAUAAAUCAUGAAUACUUCAGGAGAACAAAGGCCUUCUGAAUUUGAAAGAAGGUGAACACAAACUGUCUACCUUGCAGUUGUCAGGAUGGAGAUACAGCUACUAACUUUUACAUCGUAAUAUGAUUAAAUAAUUGUGAGGAAAUCCUGCAUUUUUAGUACUGCACCUAACCAAGCGUAGCUGUGUAUUCAAAAUAAUGUAGCUGAGACAUAGUCUUAUUUUGAUAACACUGACAGACUAAGCAUAAUGAGUCUCACUCUUCAAAGGAUCCCACUUUUCCAGUAAAUAAUUCAUCUAAUUGCAACAUUUACCUUCCAGUGUAAUACAAUCCAUAGUGAAAGCUCUGGCCAGCUGGGUAGAUACUUCCAUGCUACGACAAAUCAGAGUCUUUCCAAACACGUGUUUGAAAGCUUUGUCAAAUCUGGGAUUGUAUCUCAGUUUGCUGAUCAUAGGAAUAGCAUCCUGAAGGGACAGUGGUUAUAAUGAAACAGUGCAGUGACACAAACAGAUCAAGCAUAUUGCAACUAAUUCAAGCAAGCCCUAGAAAAUAAAGAAACCACGUCAAAAGUCAAAACAUCAUACACUGCCUUAUAGCACUACAUUCUUGAAAGUUAAGCAUAUCUCAGAUUCACUGAAGAUGAAUGCAUGCAUUCACAAUCAGACUUCUGGAAUGAAGACUUCUGGAGCUCCAUAUAUCACUAUUUAGACAAUGUCAAACUCCAAACUCAAAGCACAACACUGCAAAUGACGACUUUGGAAACACACAAGGGGCUGACACUCUGAUUAAACAGGCAAUACAGACG